GGGGAUUUAGCUCAGUGGUAGAGCGCUUGCCUAGCAAGCACAAGGCCCUGGGUUCACUCCUCAGCUCCA
rnacentral:tRNA from 1 species